rnacentral:rRNA from 1 species
GGAGAUGGGUACUGAGACACGGACCCAGGCCUUAUGGGGCGCAGCAGGCGAGAAACCUUUGCAAUGUGCGAAAGCACGACAAGGUUAAUCCGAGUGUCUCCUGCUAAAGGAGUCUUUUGUCAGUUGUAGAAUCACUGGUGAAUAAGGGGUGGGCAAGUUCUGGUGUCAGCCGCCGCGGUAAAACCAGCACCUCGAGUGGUCAGGAGGUUUAUUGGGCCUAAAGCAUCCGUAGCCGGUUGCAUAAGUUUUCGGUUAAAUCUAUGCGCUUAACGUAUAGGCCGCCGAAAAUACUGUGCAGCUAGGGAGUGGGAGAGGUACACGGUACUCGAUAGGAAGGGGUAAAAUCCUUUGAUCUAUUGAAGACCACCUGUGGCGAAGGCGGUGUACCAGAACACGUUCGACGGUGAGGGAUGAAAGCUGGGGGAGCAAACCGGAUUAGAUACCCGGGUAGUCCCAGCUGUAAACGAUGCAGACUCGGUGAUGCAUUGGCUUGUGGCCAAUGCAGUGCCGCAGGGAAGCCGUUAAGUCUGCCGCCUGGGAAGUACGUACGCAAGUAUGAAACUAAAGGAAUUGGCGGGGGAGCACCACAAGGGGUGAAGCCUGCGGUUCAAUUGGAGUCAACGCCGA